rnacentral:rRNA from 1 species
AUUGAACGCUGGCGGCAUGCUUUACACAUGCAAGUCGAACGGUAACAGGCCUUCGGGUGCUGACGAGUGGCGAACGGGUGAGUAAUGCAUCGGAACGUGCCCAGAGGUGGGGGAUAACGCAGCGAAAGCUGUGCUAAUACCGCAUGUGAUCUGAGGAUGAAAGCGGGGGACCAGGCAGCAAUGUUUGGCCUCGCGCCUUUGGAGCGGCCGAUGUCAGAUUAGGUAGUUGGUGGGGUAAAGGCCUACCAAGCCGACGAUCUGUAGCUGGUCUGAGAGGACGACCAGCCACACUGUGACUGAGACACGGCCCAGACUCCUACGGGAGGCAGCAGUGGGGAAUUUUGGACAAUGGGCGCAAGCCUGAUCCAGCAAUGCCGCGUGCGGGAAGAAGGCCUUCGGGUUGUAAACCGCUUUUGUACGGAACGAAAAGGCUCUGGCUAAUACCUGGGGCUGAUGACGGUACCGUAAGAAUAAGCACCGGCUAACUACGUG